rnacentral:rRNA from 1 species
CCUGGUGAUUAUUGCGGGGCGGCUGCACCCGAUCCCAUUCCGAACUCGGCCGUGAAACGCCCCAGCGCCGAUGGUACUCCGUCUUAAGACGCGGGAGAGUAGGUCGUUGCCAGGU